GUCCAGUGAGUGUGUGGGUAGAGUCCAGUGAGUGUGUGGGUAGAGACCAGUCAGUGUGUGGGUAGAGUCCAGUGAGUGUGUGGGUAGAGUCCAGUCAGUGUGUGGGUAGAGUCCAGUCAGUGUGGGUAGAGUCCAGUCAGUGUGUGGGUAGAGUCGAGUCAGUGUGGGUAGAAUCCAGUCAGUGUGUGGGUAGAGUCCAGUCAGUGUGGGUAGAGUCCAGUCAGUGUGUGGGUAGAGUCCAGUCAGUGUGUGGGUAGAGUCCAGUGAGUGUGUGGGUAUCGUCCAGUGAGUGUGUGGGUAUCGUCCAGUGAGUGUGUGGGUAGAGUCCAGUCAGUGUGUGGGUAGAGUCCAGUCAGUGUGUGGGUAGAGUCCAGUGAGUGUGUGAUUAGAGUCCAGUGAGUGUGUGGGUAGAGUCCAGUCAGUGUGUGGAUAGAGUCCAGUCAGUGUGUGUGUAGAGUCCAGUCAGUGUGGGUAGAGUCCAGUGAGUGUGUGGGUAGAGUCCAGUGAGUGUGUGGGUAGAGUCCAGUGAGUGUGUGGGUAGAGUCCAGUGAGUGUGUGGGUAGAGACCAGUCAGUGUGUGGGUAGAGUCCAGUGAGUGUGUGGGUAGAGUCCAGUCAGUGUGUGGGUAGAGUCCAGUCAGUGUGGGUAGAGUCCAGUCAGUGUGUGGGUAGAGUCGAGUCAGUGUGGGUAGAAUCCAGUCAGUGUGUGGGUAGAGUCCAGUCAGUGUGUGGGUAGAGUCCAGUGAGUGUGUGGGUAUCGUCCAGUGAGUGUGUGGGUAGAGUCCAGUCAGUGUGUGGGUAGAGUCCAGUCAGUGUGGGUAGAGUCCAGUCAGUGUGUGGGUAGAGUCCAGUGAGUGUGUGAUUAGAGUCCAGUGAGUGUGUGGGUAGAGGGCGCUGCCAUGGGUGGGCCUGGGUGGGCAUAGACCCACCAGCUUGGGUCAAUCAGAAUUAGUUAAAGAUAGAAAUACUCCUCAGUUUCAUCAGCUGUUUGGGUGUCUGGUCUCAGACGAUCCCGCAGGUGAAGAAGCGGAUGUGGAGGUCCUGGGCUGACGUGGUUACACGUGGUCUGAGGUUGUGAGGCCGGUUGAACGUACUGCCAAAUUGUCUAAAAUGGUGUCAGUGGAGGCUUAUGGUAGAGAAAUUAACAUUCAAUUAUUUUAGAGUUGCCUUUUAUUGUCCCCAGCAGAAGGUGCACCUGUGUAACGAUCAUGCUGUUUAAUCAGCUUCUUGAUAUACCACACCUGUCAGGUGGAUGGAUUAUCUUGGCAAAGGACAAAUACUCACUAACAAUGAUGUAAACAAAUUUGUCAACAACAUUUGAGAGAAAUAAGCUUUUUGUGCGUAUGGAACAUUUCUGGGAUCUUUUAUUUCGGCUCAUAAAACUUGGGACCAGCACUGUACAUGUUGUGUUUAUAUUUUUGUUCAUUAUAGUUCUAAAUAUCAGGUUUCUCCUCAAAGUGAUGAUGGUAAUUAUUUACAAUAUGUUCACUUGACCGGUGUUCUCCUGUGGUCUGGUCUAAAAUUAUUGGCACAGGUUAAAGAAGGAGUUUUAUGCCUUGAGACAAUUGAGACAUGGAUUGUGUAUGUGUGUCAUUCAGAGGGUGAAUGAGCAAGACAAAAUAUUUAAGUGCCUUUGAACAGGGUAUGGUAGUGCUUCUACACCUGCAUUGCUUGCUGUUUGGGGUUUUAGGCUGGGUUUCUGUACAGCACUUUGAGAUAUCAGCUGAUGUACGAAGGGCUAUAUAAAUACAUUUGAUUUGAUUUGAUUAAUAGGUGCCAGGCGCACCGGUUUGUAUGUGUUAAAAACUGCAACGCUGCUGGGUUUUUCACGCUCAACAGUUUUCCUGUGUGUAUCAACAUUGGUCCACCACCCAAAGAACAUCCAGCCAACUUGACACAACUUUGGAAAGCAUUGGAGUCAACAUAGGACUGAAUCCCUGUGGAACGCCUUCGACACCUUGUAGAGUCUCCAUGGGCCAGCAUCCCUGUGGAACGCCUUCGACACCUUGUAGAGGCUCCAUGGGCCAGCAUCCCUGUGGAAUGCCUUCGACACCUUGUAGAGUCUCCAUGGGCCAGCAUCCCUGUGGAACGCCUUCGACACCUUGUAGAGUCUCCAUGGGCCAGCAUCCCUGUGGAACGCCUUCGACACCUUGUAGAGUCUCCAUGGGCCAGCAUCCCUGUGGAACGCCUUCGACACCUUGUAGAGUCUCCAUGGGCCAGCAUCCCUGUGGAACGCCUUCGACACCUUGUAGAGUCUCCAUGGGCCAGCAUCCCUGUGGAACGCCUUCGACACCUUGUAGAGUCCAAGCCUCGACUAAUUGAGGCUGUUCUCAAUAUAAAUAUUUAUUAAGAAAAUGGUUAAUUGACCACAAAAUCAGUAUUUUGACAUUGUCAUCUCAGUCUCCGGACUUGAACCUCAUUGAAAACAUGUGGUUUGAACUGAAGAGGGGCACGUCCUUAAACGCAGAUGAAGAACAUCACUGAUCUGGAAAUAUUAUCUACGGAGGAACGGUCUAAGAUCUCUCCCAAGGUGUUCUCCAAUCUCAAUAAAAUAUUUUAGAAGUGCCGUUAUUCUCGCAAGGUGAAGUAUUGAAAGGUAUUGAACAGGGCGCCAAUAAUUUAAUUACCUGUACAUACACACGUUAAAGAGGCUGCAUGUUUCUGUCUAUGAUCCGCUCCCAGUAUAAUGUGGCAGUCAUGUUCAGCUGUCAUUUUCAUCAUAGGUGUCUAUGACCUGUAAUUCUGUAUUACCUCUUUUGAGAAUGUUUGCCUUUGUCUUCAACUCGUGAGCAAGUGUAUUCUGGUUCAUGUUCUUCAGGAUAUUAAUUGUGACGCCCAGAGCUCCAUUCUCUUUGUAUUUGUUCACCAUCAGCUCCACGGUAUUCUCCCUGCUUGUGUCGCGAUCCAACUCGCUUUUUCUGAUGGGCUCAUAGCCAUGCCUGAUCAGGAGCCACUGAAAUCUCUUCAUCUCGUCACUCGUCACCUCAUCCAGAAUGUUGACCAACACCUGCUCCAUUGUCGAUGAUCACUGCCAUGGACAAAAUAAUCAGAAACCUAUAUCAUCAACUCCCUUUUCAUCUGUAGUAUAAUAAGGAUCACUGCAGUACUAACAGUCUGAGUAAGGGCUUGGUUGAAAGUGUGAAACUUUAUCAUGUACCAUUGACACCAUGUGAAUUUGGGAGGUACAGUGGUCCAAUGACUGUCAAUGCAUCUGUCUGUAAUGGGGGAAACUCAGGUCUAGAAAGCACAACAGAAGGUAGGCUACAAUAAAUCAGGUUUAAUACAAUACGAGUUGUAACAAGGGAACAAUAAGCCACAUGGGAACAUUUAGCUGCAAUGUGUGCCCUCUACUGGCGGGAAAUCAACAACACACUGAGGUGCGGAAGGCUGCCCAAAUUAGGCAGCAGGGGUACUCUGACGCGUUGCUCUAUUGCGCUCUGGACACCGCAUCUAAGCGAUGGUUUUUGAUGAAAGCAGUGCAAUGAGGAAUACAAAUUAAAUCAACGCAAUUAGUCCGAUCGAGAAGUUGUGAAGACGGCCAUGUUGGCGUGGUACUAGGGUAAGCCUAUGCUUCAGGAACAGCCCGGCAUUACAACAUCAACUUUUUCCUCCAGGUUAGCAGGCUAUGUUAAUUACAGUUCAUGAAAUACGAGUUAGACUAGAUAUUUGUUUUUAUACCGUUAUUUAAAGCUAGAAUCAUAGGAAGGUGUAUAAUUUUGUUAUCUGCAUCUUACGGGACCGUGGUUGUUGUGGAUGGCUGUUGACAAACGUAUAUGGGUGGCUGUUGACAAACGUAUAUGGGUGGUUGUUGACAAACGUAUAUGGCUGGCUGUUGACAAACGUAUAUGUGUGUUUUUUAACCCAAUAAUGGGUGAAUUGAAGAAGUUUAUUAAGCUGCCUAUCUAUCGUUGUUAUUGCGACCAGUGGACAGCCAGUGAAAAAUGUGCUCUUGCCAACAGCUGUGUAACAGGGUUGGUUAUGUUUCCACUUGCCUCUAAAGAAAUGUGUAUUUAAUGUUCAAGCAUUCUUAUUGGUUAGUUUAACUCUGAUGACAAUAAGGUGUGUUGUGAUUGGCCUCGCUUGCAGAUAGGGGGAGAUCGCGAACGUCAGGUCUCCCCAGUAUGAAAAUGUGAUGCAAGGGGUAUGUCACGUUCUGAAUACUGUUUUCUAUUUUACAAUGUGUACAAGUUUGCUGUACAUUACUGAUUUAUACAUGUGUGGGUAUAUGGUACCUGUUAGGGAUUGAGGGGCUUUCUGGGAUGUGCUUUGGCAUAGGAUUGCUGUAAAUCAGUGUGUUAGCUAGCAUACACCGAUGUAAUGGUCACAUAAGCCACUGCUAACACAGUUGUCUUCAUGCUACAGAUUUUGCCAUCGACAACCAUCAAUAACAUUAAGCCCUGCACAACUAACAUGCUGUUUACUAUUUAACAACAGGACCUGAGACCUAGGAUCAUGCCUCAGGACUACCUGGCCUGAUAACUCCUGGCUGUCCCCAGUCCACCUGGUCGUGCUGCUGCUUCAGUUUCAACUGACCUGAGACCUAGGAUCAUGCCUCAGGACUACCUGGCCUGAUAACGCCUGGCUGUCCCCAGUCCACCUGGUCGUGCUGCUGCUUCAGUUUCAACUGACCUGAGACCUAGGAUCAUGCCUCAGGACUACCUGGCCUGAUAACUCCUGGCUGUCCCCAGUCCACCUGGUCGUGCUGCUGCUUCAGUUUCAACUGACCUGAGACCUAGGAUCAUGCCUCAGGACUACCUGGCCUGAUAACUCCUGGCUAGUGUUAGUUGUUGAUCUUGUUGUUGUUGUUUUCAUGGUUGUUUGAUCAAUAGGACUGUAAAGUUCCCAAAUGUAAGAGGACUCCUGUGGUGUUUCCAUAGUUGCAGAAAUGAAUGUCGCUUUUAGCGAAUGGAAUGCAUUCUAAUGAUCUAAAGUCUCCCUGUUGUAACUGCGUGUAAACAUACAGUCCAGUUCAAAUUGAAUGAUGUCAUCCCCGUGUUGUAAAUGUCUUGUUUCUUUGUAUAAAGGCCUACUGUAGCUCUGAUUGGCUAUAGCACACCGGU